rnacentral:misc_RNA from 1 species
AAAGUCGUAACAAGGUCUCCGUUGGUGAACCAGCGGAGGGAUCAUUAAAGAGUUGCAAAACUCCCUUAAACCAUCGUGAACGUACCUCUGAACAGUUGCUUCGGCAGGCCGGCUCCUCACCGAGGGUGCCGCCAAAGGCCUGCCGGAGGUACCCAAACCAUUGUUUUUACAGGCCUCUCUGAGUAUCGUACUUAAUAAGUCAAAACUUUCAACAACGGAUCUCUUGGCUCUG